rnacentral:rRNA from 1 species
UGUGGUUAUUAUAGCAAAGAGGAUACACCUGUUCCCAUUCCGAACACAGAAGUUAAGCUCUUUAGCGCCGAUGGUACUUGGUGGGAAGCUGCCUGGGAGAGUAGGACAUAGCCGCGU